CAAGUACACCCUCCGUCCGGAAUUACUUGUCAUCAAAAUGGAUGUGUCUAGAACUAAAAUACAUCUAGAUACAUCCAUUUCAAUGACAAGUAUUUUCGGACGGAGCGAGUACAAG
rnacentral:pre_miRNA from 1 species